GAUGAACGCUGGCGGCGUGCCUAAUACAUGCAAGUCGAGCGAAUGGAUUAAGAGCUUGCUCUUAUGAAGUUAGCGGCGGACGGGUGAGUAACACGUGGGUAACCUGCCCAUAAGACUGGGAUAACUCCGGGAAACCGGGGGUAAUACCGGAUCACAUUUUGAACCGCAUGGUUCGAACUUGAAAGGCGGCUUCGGCUGUCACUUAUGGAUGGACCCGCGUCGCAUUAGCUAGUUGGUGAGGUAACGGCUGACCAAGGCAACGAUGCGUGGCCGGCCUGAGAGGGUGAUCGGCCACACUGGGAAUGAGACACGGCCCAGACUCCUACGGGAGGCAGCAGUAAGGAAUCUUCCGCAAUGGACGAAAGUCUGACGGAGCAACGCCGCGUGAGUGAUGAAGGCUUUCGGGUCGUAAAACUCUGUUGUUAGGGAAGAACAAGUGCUAGUUGAAUAAGCUGGCACCUUGACGGUACCUAACCAGAAAGCCACGGCUAACUACGUGCCAGCCGCCGCUGUAA
rnacentral:rRNA from 1 species